rnacentral:rRNA from 1 species
UGGCGGCGCGCCUAACACAUGCAAGCCGAACGAGAUAUGAGGAGCUUGCUCUUCAAAUCGAGUGGCGAACGGGUGAGUAACGCGUGAGGAACCUGCCUCAAAGAGGGGGACAACAGUUGGGAACGACUGCUAAUACCGCAUAAGCCCACGGCUCGGCAUCGAGCAGAGGGAAAAGGAGCAAUCCGCUUUGAGAUGGCCUCGCGUCCGAUUAGCUAGUUGGUGAGGUCACGGCCCACCAAGGCGACGAUCGGUAGCCGGACUGAGAGGUUGAACGGCCACAUUGGGACUGAGACACGGCCCAGACUCCUACGGGAGGCAGCAGUGGGGAAUAUUGCACAAUGGGGGAAACCCUGAUGCAGCGACGCCGCGUGGAGGAAGAAGGUCUUCGGAUUGUAAACUCCUGUUGUUGAGGAAGAUAAUGACGGUACUCAACAAGGAAGUGACGGCUAACUACGUGCCAGCAGCCGCGGUAAAACGUAGGUCACAAGCGUUGUCCGGAAUUACUGGGUGUAAAGGGAGCGCAGGCGGGAGAACAAGUUGGAAGUGAAAUCCAUGGGCUCAACCCAUGAACUGCUUUCAAAACUGUUUUUCUUGAGUAGUGCAGAGGUAGGCGGAAUUCCCGGUGUAGCGGUGGAAUGCGUAGAUAUCGGGAGGAACACCAGUGGCGAAGGCGGCCUACUGGGCACCAACUGACGCUGAGGCUCGAAAGUGUGGGUAGCAAACAGGAUUAGAUACCCUGGAAGUCCACACCGUAAACGAUGAUUACUAGGUGUUGGAGGAUUGACCCCUUCAGUGCCGCAGUUAACACAAUAAGUAAUCCACCUGGGGAGUACGACCACAAGGUUGCAAGUCAAAGGAAUUGACGG